rnacentral:rRNA from 1 species
GUGGGGAAUAUUGGACAAUGGGCGAAAGCCUGAUCCAGCCAUGCCGCGUGAGUGAUGAAGGCCUUCGGGUUGUAAAGCUCUUUAGCCGAUGAUUAUAAUGACUGUAGUCGGAAAAUAAGCCCCGGCUAACUUCGUGCCAGCAGCCGCGGUAAUACGAAGGGGGCGAGCGUUAUUCGGAAUCACUGGGCGUAAAGCGUGCGUAGGCGGCUUUGCAAGUUGGGAGUGAAAGCCCAGGGCUCAACCCUGGAAUUGCUCUCAAAACUGCAAGGCUCGAAUUCGGGAGAGGAUAGCGGAAUUGUCAGUGUAGCAGUGAAAUGCGUAGAUAUUGACAGGAACACCAGUGGCGUAAGCGGCUAUCUGGACCGAUAUUGACGCUGAGGCACGAAAGCGUGGGGAUCAAACAGGAUUAGAUACCCUAGUAGUCC